rnacentral:rRNA from 1 species
GACGAACGCUGGCGGCGUGCUUAACACAUGCAAGUCGAACGGUAAGGCCCUUCGGGGUACACGAGUGGCGAACGGGUGAGUAACACGUGGGUGAUCUGCCCUGCACUUCGGGAUAAGCCUGGGAAACUGGGUCUAAUACCGGAUAGGACCACUGCCUGCAUGGGUGGGGGUGGAAAGCUUUUGCGGUGUGGGAUGGGCCCGCGGCCUAUCAGCGUGUUGGUGGGGUGAUGGCCUAACAAGGCGACGACGGGUAGCCGGCCUGGGAGGGUGACCAGCCACACUGGGACUGAGAUACGGCCCAGACUCCUACGGGAGGCAGCAGUGGGGAAUAUUGCACAAUGGGCGCAAGCCUGAUGCAGCGACGCCGCGUGAGGGAUGACGGCCUUCGGGUUGUAAACCUCUUUCAGCACCGACGAAGCGCAAGUGACGGUAGGUGCAGAAGAAGGACCGGCCAACUACGUGCCAGCCGCCGCGGUAAGAC